rnacentral:rRNA from 1 species
UGAGGAAUAUUGGUCAAUGGGCGAGAGCCUGAACCAGCCAAGUAGCGUGCAGGAAGACGGCCCUAUGGGUUGUAAACUGCUUUUAUGUGGGGAUAAAGUGAGCUACGUGUAGUUUAUUGCAGGUACCACAUGAAUAAGGACCGGCUAAUUCCGUGCCAGCAGCCGCGGUAAUACGGAAGGUCCAGGCGUUAUCCGGAUUUAUUGGGUUUAAAGGGAGCGUAGGCCGUGGAUUAAGCGUGUUGUGAAAUGUAGACGCUCAACGUCUGAAUUGCAGCGCGAACUGGUUCACUUGAGUAUGCACAACGUAGGCGGAAUUCGUCGUGUAGCGGUGAAAUGCUUAGAUAUGACGAAGAACUCCGAUUGCGAAGGCAGCUUACGGGAGCACAACUGACGCUGAAGCUCGAAGGUGCGGGUAUCAAACAGGAUUAGAUACCCUGGUAGUCCGCACAGUAAACGAUGGAUGCCCGUUGUUAGUUCACUUAUGAAUUAGCGACCAAGCGAAAGCAUUAAGCAUCCCACCUGGGGAGUACGCCGGCAACGGUGA